CACUGAGAAUUAUGAGCCUGCGCGAAGCGAGAAGCGAGCAUUCCGCGCAACUCCCUCGUUCGUGGCUCGUUUGUACUACGAUAAUAUGUGGAACACGGUGUUCAAUCAUACUUAUUGAAUCAUAAAGAUCGAUGCGUUGUAACGUCAUUAUUCAUUUUUCAUCGAUCUCUCGGUCUCCAUUACGUGGGAAUUAUAUAAUAACGUCGAUACACGAUCGAAAAAUACUUCCGUAUUGUAGUACCUUAUAAUAGGCAUCACGCGUGUUCGUGUGUACGCGAAAGAGGUUAUGUUAUUAUAUACUGGUAUAAACCAUUUGAUGGAAUAUACAAAAGCAAGUCUUUAAGAAUAGCUGUUGGUAGCUAAAUUAUACUAGUACGAGAUAGAGAGCACGGCGGAGACCGGUGAUUCGUGUUUUAUUUUCCUUUCUGUGUAUGUGUGGACAAGUGAGUGAAGUUGUGAAAAUAUAUCACCAGAAUACUGUAAUAUAAUUGAGCGAGAUACUUGCCAUUUUUUACGGAUUCUCACCACAAAUCGAAGCCAAAUCGUUUUGGAAAGGGUCUCCAAUAAGCAUGCUCACUCAUUUCACGGGGAACUCUACCAGCAAACACGAGAAUAUUGAAAAAGCUCAUUUCUCUUGUGAGAAUGUCAUUUCAAUAAGGAGUCUGGCUGCUUUAUCAUUCCUGCGGUUAUAAUUGGAGUCUGAUUAGAAGCGUUGAAAUUUUAGACUUUGUAGGUUAUGCGUGAUUAGGGAUCAGAGUUUCGAUAUUGCGAGGUAGAAAAUCACUGCUGAAGGCAAAUGUAAACUUCAAAAUUAUUGAUAUUUUGUUUUUUAGCUUUUGUAUUUUUUCUUAUAUGCACUCAUGACCUGUAGUACAAAGCGCUUCUGUUUGAAAAUAUAAGUGAGGUCUUGUACGAAA